GUCGUUUUGAGCGUAGGAGUUGAAACAGUUUAUGUCCAGGAUGCGAGGGGUCUGUAAAUAUUUUCACGGCCCUCUUUUUGACUCGUGCAGUAUACAGGUCCUCAAUGGAAGGCAGUGAUGAAGUGGCAAGGAUGGACACCUUCCGUGUUGUUUUAUACACACACACACUCACACACACAUAAAUACAAACUAUCUCUGAAAUCCCACAUUAGGUCAUGCAGGGCUAUAAGGUUGCCUUUUGCAAAGGAUGUAAAGAGAUGCCCUAGAAAUCACCCCUCCCUCCCAACCUGUGCCCUCACCUCCCGAAUACCCUCUAACAGCCAUUCCCAAGAACUCUGGAGCACCCCGAGCAGUGGUGGGUUUCUAUCAGUUUGGCCCACUUUGGGCGAACUGGUAGCAGUGGUGGCCAGAGGCUCAGCCCACCCAACUGGACGAAAUCACGGAUACUCUUCACAUGCACAGAAGGUUCUGCGUAUGUGCAGAAGUGCGCGCUCACAGUUCCGAACCAAUAGCGAAGGUCAAACUCAAUCCUGGGGGCGCAUGGCACAUUCCCCCCCCCCAUCAACUUCCUUGGCAACCCGAAGCGAGGGACUGGGUUGAUUGGCAGCCCAACGCCCAGUUUGGAAAGCAAGAAGCCCCACCAGAGGAUGCCACAGGACCAAUCUGCAUCCUGCUUCAAAUCCUGACCAAAGGCUGAAUCUAGUGCUUCUCAGAUACGACCAGCUGCCAUGCCAAAGCCCAUGAUAGCUGGGAAUGAAGGGGGGGAGUGGCCUGAGGAGACCUCCUGGAGCAGCCAAACGGAAAUGAGUUUCAACAGGAACUGCUCUUUACAGAGAGAAAGUUUAUACGUGGCACCUUCGAGACAACUCGUUCCCCAAGGCAGCGUUCUUGGACCAACACUCUUCAUAUUAUACAUUAAAGAUCUCUGUGACUUUGUUUGUCGGAAGGUCACAAAAGGGGAUUACGUAACAAUAAAAGAAGAUAAUUAUUAUAAACUAAAAGAACAAAUUGAGAAAGAUUUGGAGAAAUGGAAAAACCUGCAACUUUCACUUAUGGGAAGGAUAGCAAUCAUAAAGAUGAAUAUAUCACCAAGACUAUUAUAUCUAUUGCAGACAGUACUGAUAAAACUUGAAAAAACUUACUUUCAACAUCUUAAUAAGAGACAUCUAAACAAGAAAAUUUAUAUGGCAAAGGAAAAAAGCUAGAAUAAGUAUAAAGAUGUUACAAGACACGAGGCUAAGGAUUUGGACUGCCAAAUUGGGAACUAUAUUACCAGGCAGCAGCACUGACUUGGAUGAAAGAAUGGGUGGAAUUAAGAAAUACAUGACUAUUAAUUUUGGAAGGAUAUGGUUUGCAACUGGGAUGGCAUGCUUUUUUAUGGCAUGGAAGAAGUACUUUUUUUUUUUUUUUUUUAUAAAAAAGUUUUAUUUUUACAAUCUUAUCAAAUAAUUCAUCCAAUGUACAGUUAUAGUUACAGUCGGGCCUGCCCAGUCACCACCCCCCUUUUUAACCUUCUUCCCUCUUCUACCUUCUUUUACUUUCCAAACCUUCCUCUCCUUCUCUUAUCUACCUCCUCUCCUCCCUCCACCCUACACUCUUCUCCCUCUUCUACCCCUCUUCCUUCCUCUUCUCCUCUUUCCUACCUCCUACUCUCUCUUUUUUCCCUCCCCACCGUUCUAAAAUGGCAACUGGUCAGACCCGACCCUACAUUAAUUAUAUUUAUACAUCUUCAAUAAUCCCUGUACAUUAACCAUCACUCCAUCACUAACCUC